rnacentral:snRNA from 1 species
UGACUGCGUUUUGCGCUACGGGA